GUCUCAGAAAUACAACCAGCUUGUUCACCCUUUUUGCAAACCUCUUUUCAGGCUUGGACAACCUGGCUGCGACAGUGGAACCCUCCUAAAAAACGGGUGCCAAGAGACAUAACUGGUGUUGUGGGAACAGAAUUGGGAAUCAAUUCAGAGGUAUUAAUGAAUAACUUGGCUUCUACGACUAGAGAUUUGACCAAAAUACAGCAACCACUGCAGUCAUCCUUAUCGGCCUUGGGAACACAUCAGUGCUUGCUAUCAAACAUUCUACCAAAUUGGGAAAAGAUAAAUGUGAAUGAUAAAAAAUUGAUCAUUGAUGCACUUAAUGCCACACAAAGCAAUGUUUCCUUAGCUCUUAGCUGUAUCCAGGCUCAAUUAUGGAUGCAGUCAGUUGCUGCCUCAAUUAUAAGAGAAGGUGAAGAAGGCUCUUUUCCUACUGAGAUUAGGAAAAUAGUCUGGGACAGUGCCACUGACUUUGAAAGAGAUUUCCAGUCCUGGUGGAAUUUAGUGAAUUUUACCUAUGACCCUAACACAAACACAGCCACAGCAUUUUGUGCUGACCAUAAGUAAUGCCUCAGUGCAUUUGAUAUUCCCUAGCAUCGCAUUAGGAUUAAAUCAUGAUGGACCCACUUUCUAUCCUUCUGAACAUAGAGAAUGGGCCCGUCAAAUUGAUGACAAAUGGCAAACUGUCAAUUUAGAGUCCUGUACUAUCCGAGAACAACUAGGGUUUAUCUGUGAAGGUAAUGCAAUUAUAGCUCAAGAUAUCUGUUUAGACACAGAACAAAAUAGCUGUCAUUUUGAUAUUCAUCCUAACGAGACUUCUGAAACAGUCCUUGUAUCUACAGGCAAUGGGCGUGCCUGCUUCAGAACCGCUUGUGAUACUGUGUUUAUAGAAAGUACAGUAGUAGCUACUAAAAAUCAUUCAAAUUAUUGUGCUUGCAACUUUACUAAAAUUGCAGGAUGUGAUUUUUCUUUUGUAGCUCCAGUUACCUUACAUGAACUUUUAGAAUCCAAUCUCAUGUUGAUUCACAAGCUACUGCCUACUCCCAUUGGGAUGAACCUUACUUUGGUAAAGCAACCAUUACUUCAUCAAGAUCUAAUAGAGAUCCUAGGAAAAAUCAAGGAGAAUGGACAGAAAACUCUGUCCUGAAGACUCCACGACGACACCAUGGAACCCUGCUGAUGAAGAUCUUUCGAGGGCAAUCGUCAGUCACGGGGUGGUGUAAGAGCCCGUCUGAAGCCCCUCAUUUUCCAUUCUGCCUUCCGAUUGCCACGAGAAAGAAUCCCUUCCCCCACUGCAGUUCCGGCUUAGAACAGGACACAGCACAGGUGCAACCACUGAACCGUCAUGCUAGCUGUUCCGAACAAGGCCUGGCAAGAACUUGGCAAGGACUUGGCAAGGACUUGGCAAAGACCUGACGUGGACCCAGCACGGGACAGCCUGAUGCGCGGCCUGCUUCUAAUCUCCGUUCUUAAGCCAAAUGAACUUUUGGGUGAUUCAAAUGGACUUAUUCUUCAUUGGAUUCGUCUUGCUUUGGUGGUUUCUGUGGACUCUCCUCUUCCCGCGUGGCGAUUACAAUGGACUUUCGUUGUUACCCUCGCUCCCCCCUCUUUCCUCUGUGGACUAUAACUGGAGCCCUGAGUCGACCAGAACUUCGGAGACUCCCCCGACACGACAGACAGAACCCCAUCGUCCGGACCACUGAGGAUCUCGCCUGUGUUGGUAGCUAUUCCCAUACCCCUCUUCUCUCUCUCUCUGUCCUUUUAUCUCCUUUCCGAUCCCCACUAUCGCAUUUACUGUUUUGGCCCCUAAUAAAGGUGUGUUUGUUGUGAUUAACUGAUA